ACUCCUACGGGAGGCAGCAGUAGGGAAUCUUCCGCAAUGGGCGAAAGCCUGACGGAGCAACGCCGCGUGAGUGAUGAAGGGUUUCGGCUCGUAAAACUCUGUUAUUAGGGAAGAACAUAUGUGUAAGUAACUGUGCACAUCUUGACGGUACCUAAUCAGAAAGCCACGGCUAACUACGUGCCAGCAGCCGCGGUAAU
rnacentral:rRNA from 1 species